UAAAGUUGAAGGUGAGAGAGUGAGAGACGGCAGAGAAAACGACUGUCUCUUUCUCUGCCGUCUCUCGCUCUCUCACCUUCAACUUUG
rnacentral:sRNA from 13 species